UACGGAGGGUGCAAGCGUUGUCCGGAUUUAUUGGGUUUAAAGGGUGCGUAGGUGGGGUUUCAAGUCUGGUUUGAAAGUUAGCUGCUCAACAGUUAGACGUGGCUGGAAACUGGGAUUCUGGAAUGGGUUUGCGGCUGCCGGAACGGGUCAUGUAGCGGUGAAAUGCAUAGAUAUGACCCAGAACACCGAUUGCGAAGGCAGGCGGCUACGCCCUGAUUGACGCUGAGGCACGAAAGCGUGGGUAGCGAACAGG
rnacentral:rRNA from 1 species